UGAUGAUUAACUCCAUGUGGCAUCAGAUAUGGAGGUGAUUGCUGAAGGAAGAGAUACAAAUUGAAUUGAAAUUAUACAACCAGACAUGAUUUAUGUGAGAACAGUCUGGGAUUUUUUUAAGGCAAGCUUUCAUGUGAAAUAUAUCUGUGCUACUAUUGCUCUACUAACAAGCAAGAAUAAACCUUUAGGCAAAUUUCAAGGUUUAGAGGAUUAGUUAUUGUGAUUCAUCAGCUGUUAAAAUAUUAUCGGAUUAGAGAGGUCAGAGGAAAGAAUCAGGAAUGUCCCAAGUCUGCAAUCCCCAUCUUCCUUCCUGUGAUGAUAAUCAUCAUUGUCAACAUGACUGCAUUUGGAAUCACCUAGGAGACACACCUCUAUGGGUGCAUUUGAGAUGUUUAACUGAGGAGAAAAGACUCUGAAGGUUUGGCCCUGGCUCUGCUGCAAGGCAGAGGAUCUAGAUUGGCUGGCCUGAAGUCUAUUCACACUCCGUGGGAGGUCUGGUCCAACCCUGGAGAUACAAGAUAAAACGAGAAAUAAGAAAAAAAACAUGUGAAGGUCAUUUGCGGAUAUUUUGUUUUGUUUUUUAUCUGGAGGAAAGCAGAGCAGAACUCAUGAGUAAUAAACUCCUAAGGACGCAGUUGUAGGAAACAAUAACAAUUGAACAAAGAAAACUUGGCUAAAAGGAAGUGGGAAAAAAAUAACUGGAAAACCCAGGGAAACUGGAGGACGCUGUACAUCAUCUGGGUUUUUGUUUGUUUGUUUGUUUGUUUUGCAGUGCUUCUUUUCCAGGGAUAGGAAUUGGUAUAUAAAUAAACACUUCCUGAAGUGGA